rnacentral:rRNA from 1 species
GAUGAACGUUGGCGGUGUGCCUAAUACAUGCAAGUCGAACGGAGUUAGUAGCAAUACUGGCUCAGUGGCGAACGGGUGAGUAACGCGUUGGUGAUCUGCCUUGAAGUGUGGAAUAACGUUUCGAAAGGAACGCUAAUACCGCAUGUGCUCUCGAUUUUCAGAAAGUUGAGAGUAAAGGAUUUAUUCGCUUCAAGAGGAGCCUGCGUCCCAUCAGCUGGUUGGUAGGGUAACGGCCUACCAAGGCUAUGACGGGUAGGGGACCUGAGAGGGUGGCCCCCCACAAUGGAACUGAAACACGGUCCAUACACCUACGGGUGGCAGCAGUAGGGAAUAUUAGAAAUGGACGAAAGUCUGAUCUAGCAACACCGCGAGUGCGAAGAAGGCCUUCGGGUCGUAAAGCACUUUUUGGAAGGAAUAGGAAGGAAUGUACUUCCAGAAUAAGUCUCGGCUAACUACGUGCCAGCCGCCGCUGUAAGAC